rnacentral:lncRNA from 1 species
GAUCAUAAACCCAUUACCAUGGUGCAAAGACAAGAAGUUCAAAUGAAAGAUAAGGAGGACAUCUGGAAAGGUGGAAUAUCUGAGACACAAAGUUUAAACACUGCCAAAUGUUGCUUGAUGAUGGGAACACAUUCUGAAAAUGGCAUCAUUAGGCAAUCGCAUCACUGUGCACAGAGCCUGGAAUGCCCUGUACAAGCCUGAGGACACAGGUCAGCAGCUC